CAGCCGCCGCGGUAAUACAGAGGGUGCGAGCGUUAAUCGGAUUUACUGGGCGUAAAGCGUGCGUAGGCGGCUUUUUAAGUCGGAUGUGAAAUCCCUGAGCUUAACUUAGGAAUUGCAUUCGAUACUGAGAAGCUAGAGUAUGGGAGAGGAUGGUAGAAUUCCAGGUGUAGCGGUGAAAUGCGUGGAGAUCUGGAGGAAUACCGAUGGCGAAGGCAGCCAUCUGGCCUAAUACUGACGCUGAGGUACGAAAGCAUGGGGAGCAAACAGGAUUAGAGACCCCCGUAGUCCCUGUCUCUUAUAC
rnacentral:rRNA from 1 species